ensembl:lncRNA
GAGAGGAGGACGCAGGAGGAGGAUGAAAAAGAGGAGGGAGUCUACCAGGCCAUGGAGAACUCUCUGAGAGAGGGCUGGGUUCUGCUGCUGCGGAUGCUAGACAGACGACUCCAUGUUCUGAUACUGGCUGCAGACUUCUACAGCACAGUGCACGAGUUUUCUGCUGGUAAUGAGCUGCUUGGGGAUUUGAAGAUCACACCUGACAGACUUAAUCAUGCUCAGCUUACUUACACAUCUAUCCGAAGAGAUCUCCUGGGGAAGUCCCUUCAGCUCUUGGGCAUCAGCAGUGACUUGUUGAAGAAGCUGAGAGAACUGCAGAAAACUGAGUGUCUCCAGAGGCAAGGGCAUGUACUGCAGGAAGGAGAGGAAUAUCAAGAGAGUUCCGAGUACAGUUGGGGCCCUGUACGUAAGCUGGAGCAGACGGUAGAGGCUCUGCAGGACCGGAGGAGGACAGUGGACCAAGAGGUGAAACUGCAGAUACAACAAGCCCUAGAGCAAACCCAGGCACAGCCUCAAGACCAGGGACCCAGAGAGCAGGAGGAUUGGGGUUUGUCAUUAGAUGAAAUUUUGGCACGAAAUCGUCCCUCUACAUCUGAAAUGAAAUUUGAUCUCGAAUUAAAACUGGAAAAUGCCAACAUUCCUCGAAAACUACCCCAAGUAUCCGUCAACACAACAGAGAUAGAAGAUGUCAACUUUGCGUCUUGCUCUGAUCUCGUAUCUAUGUCCUCAAAUGAAACCCUUGAUAGAAAUUCUGGAUGCAUUUUAGCAGAGGAGGAGGGAUUGCGUGUCGAAUCCAGAAGAGGAGAGAGGGAACCAACACCAAAAUGUGAAUUUAUGGGAACUCAAGAAACCACCAAUGGAAACACAUCG